UACAGAGGUCCCAAGCGUUGUUCGGAUUCACUGGGCGUAAAGGGUGCGUAGGUGGUGAGGUAAGUCGGAUGUGAAAGCUCGGAGCUCAACUCCGAAAUGGCAUUGGAAACUACCUUGCUCGAGGGUUGGAGGGGGGACUGGAAUACUUGGUGUAGCAGUGAAAUGCGUAGAUAUCAAGUGGAACACCAGUGGCGAAGGCGAGUCCCUGGGCCGAUACUGACGCUGAGGAGCGAAAGCGUGGGGAGCAAACAGG
rnacentral:rRNA from 1 species